rnacentral:lncRNA from 1 species
CCACCACGAGCAGCCGGGCCAGCAGCGGCCUGCUCUGCAGCCAGACCUGGCUUAGGCUUAGGCUGCGCAUCCUGACAAGUUUAUUUUCCUCCUUUUGCCUCCGAUUGCAGCACCAAGCAAUGGGAAGAGCGGGCAGACACUGCCUCCUGGCAACACAAACCCUCACAGCUUAGCACAUAGCCAUGGAAAACCCAGCCCAGCUUAGGUGAAUAAGGAGACAGAAGGACAUCAGGACAGGGUGUUAUCAGCAACCCCACGCUCAGCACAGGAUCACACACAGCGUGCUCCGUUCUUACACCCUACAGAAGUACCAGUUCUGAAAAUCUGCCACGUGGUGAACUCUGCAGUUUCUGUUCCACCUCCCCGCGUGCGGGCGGCCCUUUAGGACAUCAGGAGACCGGACCCUAUGAGGGCACAAACAACUCUGUUUUUUUUAAGUCUAUCUAGAAUUCAGUUCAGCUGAAAAGAAGAAAUUCUGCUAGCCAAGGAAAGCCUAACCAGGAGCAAAGAUCUCCAGCCUGACAUUCUGCUACAGGUCUGGAUUUCCUUGCAGAACAGACAGCUUUCAUCAGCCACCCUGAUCUGGAGAUGACGUAGCAAAAAUUUCUGUGCAGCAACACAACUUUGGCCCCUGCCACAAAUCUUUUUAUAGCCCUUCCAGUUUUCGUUUUCCAUUCAAAAAUAGUGCUGCGUUGUGUCCCCCCCAGCUCACCCAGCCGCCCCCAACGGGCUCAGCACAGACCUGCACCCCACGUGGUGUCCCAGCUGACGCUGUCCCCGCAGGCUUUUGGCAGACAGCCCCAACCCUGCUCCACCAGCAGAGCAGCCACCAGUCCCUCAAACGGUGCCACUGCUACCUCUGGAGAUCUCCGUGAUGACUGCAGUGUUUUACAGCGUUGACUGUAAACCUCUCUGAAGAUCCCUUCUCCUCCAAAGCACCACAGUGC